ACCUUUUUCAGCUGGACCUAAUCACUACUUUACAUUAAUAUUUAUGACCCAAAUUUUUUUACAGUGUCAUUUCACCCCCCAACUUGCUAUAUGAGGCAUAACACAUGGAGAAAUAAAUUUGGAAGGGGUAUAACAAAAAUUGGCAAGUAACACACUGUCCACACUAAGGACUAUAUUCGGACAACGAAAAUCAAAGGACGAUAACUUUGUACUCGGAC
rnacentral:lncRNA from 1 species